GGGUAAGUGUAGGGUUAGGGUAGGGUUAGGAAUAGGGUUAGGGUUACCCUACCCUAACCAUACCCCUACCCCUACCCUAACCCAACCACUAACCCU